rnacentral:rRNA from 1 species
AACUAGAUAACAACUUUCAGCAGUGGAUGUCUAGGCUCGCACAUCGAUGAAGAACGCUGCGAACUGCGAUACGUAAUGCGAAUUGCAGGAUUCAGUGAGUCAUCGAACUUUUGAACGCAUAUUGCACUUUCGGGUUACGCCUGGAAGUAUGUCUGUAUCAGUGUCCGUAC